UGGCUGACCCCCCCUUAAUAGAUUACAAGCGGCCAGUAGGUGGGGGGGAGUACUGCUCAUGGACACAGUAGCCUGAACUUUUUCACUAUCUCUUUUCCUCUGCCUCAAAGCAGGAAGAUCCUGCUCCAAACCAGUCAGUACUACCCAGAUAAGGGAACAUGAGAUUUUACACUUACCAAUCAAGUAUUAACACGCAAGGGUCUUUGUCUGAAUGUGUAUAAAAGGUUUGUGAAAUUUGUGUAAGACAGAGUCUUUUGUACCAAGGUACAGGCUCUCCUUUUUCUGCAGAAUAAAGCAUUUUUCCUUAUC